CUGCUGUUCCCCAUGUACCCGGCUACCGAUCCCUCAUUCCAUCGGAGCCCCUGGACUCUGCCUCGGCCCCUGAUGAUGCCCAUCACGUCAGAUGCAACUGACAGACUCUAGGGGGCUUGAGGUUCCCCCAAAGGGGCCCUUCUUGGCUCUUCUUCAGGAAACUUUCUCUUGUUUUAUAGCUGUGUCUCUGACUGCAACAUCGUUCUGUCUUCCCACGUGCUUGUUUACUGGUCCUGCUUCCUCUGGAUGGUUCAUGUCUUUUGCCUGAUUCAGUGAUCGGACUGUUUAUUUUAGCGGUUCUGAAAAUAAUCACUUACCCAUCGUGUCGAGUACGAGCAUAAGAAUGCAGAUGUCACCCAUCACCCAGCUCUCCAGCCUCAGAACAAGAAACAAGUUCACCAUCACCAUGCCAGUGUCUGUCCCAGGAAGAACUGAGACAAAAAGGAAGUUGGAAGCUUUUGGUCCCCCAAAUUCGAGGGUCUCUGCUGAAGUCUUUCCGUAUACAUUAAGUCUGGUUUCAGACAUUAUCCUUGGAUCGCCAUCAUAAAAGCAAAAUCUCACCCAGGCGAGUAAUUUCAUCUUGUACCAGAAUUUCCAAUGUACCAGAAUUUCCAACUGACAUUGGCUUGGAUCUAGGAGCAGAGACCCGAUAAGCCAGAUUCACUCACUUUCAUUGACUUUAGAAUGUUGCAACUGGAAGGAACCUCGGAGAUCAAGCCAAGUGGUUUUGAAAUGGUCUCAUUUUUGGGUUUUGUUGUAGUUUUUAAUGAAAUAAAUAUUGUUCUAAAAUGAACUCUUCCA
rnacentral:lncRNA from 1 species